rnacentral:misc_RNA from 1 species
GCCACCCCAUCCCUCCAAAGCCACUGCACCAAGCCCCGCCGCCGUCUCACCGGCUUUCGCCGGACGCUGUACUCUCAGCUGCCACGGUCUCUGCCUUCCGAAGAAGUCGUUUCUGCUCCCUGCCUCUCACAGACUCUGGCCUCUCCGAGCAAACGGACAUACUAAGUUCCUUACCUCUGUUUUCCGCCCCUAAAAAACGGUGGUUCAGCCCCUCCUUGCCGUUGGUGAGAUCGCGCCGCCG